rnacentral:rRNA from 1 species
GACAGAGGAUGCAAGCGUUAUCCGGAAUGAUUGGGCGUAAAGCGUCUGUAGGUGGCUUUUUAAGUCUGCCGUCAAAUCCCAGGGCUUAACCCUGGACAGGCGGUGGAAACUACCAAGCUGGAGUACGGUAGGGGCAGGGGGAAUUUCCGGUGGAGCGGUGAAAUGCGUAGAGAUCGGAAAGAACACCAACGGCGAAAGCACUCUGCUGGGCCGACACUGGCACUGAGAGACGAAAGCUAGGGGAGCGAAUGGG